UAGGGAAUAUUGGACAAUGGGUGAGAGCCUGAUCCAGCCAUGCCGCGUGCAGGAAGAAGGCGUUAUGCGUUGUAAACUGCUUUUGCCAGGGGAUAAAAAGACCGUGCGCGGUUAAUUGAAGGUACCUGGUGAAUAAGCCACGGCUAACUACGUGCCAGCAGCCGCGGUAAUACGUAGGUGGCAAGCGUUGUCCGGAUUUAUUGGGUUUAAAGGGUGCGUAGGUGGCCCUGUAAGUCAGUGGUGAAAUAUCUCAGCUUAACUGAGAGGGUGCCAUUGAUACUGCAGGGCUUGAGUACAGAUGAGGUAGGCGGAAUUGACGGUGUAGCGGUGAAAUGCAUAGAUAUCGUCAAGAACACCGAUAGCGAAGGCAGCUUACCAAGCUGUAACUGACACUGAGGCACGAAAGUGUGGGGAUCAAACAGGAUUAGAUACCCAUGUAGUCCCUGAGCGGGCUGGCAAGGCGCAU
rnacentral:rRNA from 1 species